UUAAGCGACUAAGCGUACACGGUGGAUGCCCUGGCAGUCAGAGGCGAUGAAGGGCGUACUAAUCUGCGAUAAGCGCCGGUAAGGUGAUAUGAACCGUUAUAACCGGCGAUACCCGAAUGGGGAAACCCAGUGUGACUCGUCACACUAUCAUUAACUGAAUCCAUAGGUUAAUGAGGCGAACCGGGGGAACUGAAACAUCUAAGUACCCCGAGGAAAAGAAAUCAACCGAGAUUCCCCCAGUAGCGGCGAGCGAACGGGGAGGAGCCCAGAGCCUGAAUCAGCAUGUGUGUUAGUGGAAGCGUCUGGAAAGGCGCGCGAUACAGGGUGACAGCCCCGUACACAAAAGCGCAUGUGCUGUGAGCUCGAUGAGUAGGGCGGGACACGUGGUAUCCUGUCUGAAUAUGGGGGGACCAUCCUCCAAGGCUAAAUACUCCUGACUGACCGAUAGUGAACCAGUACCGUGAGGGAAAGGCGAAAAGAACCCCGGCGAGGGGAGUGAAAAAGAACCUGAAACCGUGUACGUACAAGCAGUGGGAGCACAGGUUUACCUGUGUGACUGCGUACCUUUUGUAUAAUGGGUCAGCGACUUAUAUUCUGUAGCAAGGUUAACCGAAUAGGGGAGCCGGAGGGAAACCGAGUCUUAAUUGGGCGUUAAGUUGCAGGGUAUAGACCCGAAACCCGGUGAUCUAGCCAUGGGCAGGUUGAAGGUUGGGUAACACUAACUGGAGGACCGAACCGACUAAUGUUGAAAAAUUAGCGGAUGACCUGUGGCUGGGGGUGAAAGGCCAAUCAAACCGGGAGAUAGCUGGUUCUCCCCGAAAGCUAUUUAGGUAGCGCCUCGUGAAUUCAUCUCCGGGGGUAGAGCACUGUUUCGGCUAGGGGGCCAUCCCGGCUUACCAACCCGAUGCAAACUGCGAAUACCGGAGAAUGUUAUCACGGGAGACACACGGCGGGUGCUAACGUCCGUCGUGAAGAGGGAAACAACCCAGACCGCCAGCUAAGGUCCCAAAGUCAUGGUUAAGUGGGAAACGAUGUGGGAAGGCCCAGACAGCCAGGAUGUUGGCUUAGAAGCAGCCAUCAUUUAAAGAAAGCGUAAUAGCUCACUGGUCGAGUCGGCCUGCGCGGAAGAUGUAACGGGGCUAAACCAUGCACCGAAGCUGCGGCAGCGACACUGUGUGUUGUUGGGUAGGGGAGCGUUCUGUAAGCCUGCGAAGGUGGCCUGUGAGGGUUGCUGGAGGUAUCAGAAGUGCGAAUGCUGACAUAAGUAACGAUAAAGCGGGUGAAAAGCCCGCUCGCCGGAAGACCAAGGGUUCCUGUCCAACGUUAAUCGGGGCAGGGUGAGUCGACCCCUAAGGCGAGGCCGAAAGGCGUAGUCGAUGGGAAACGGGUUAAUAUUCCCGUACUUGGUGUUACUGCGAAGGGGGGACGGAGAAGGCUAUGUUGGCCGGGCGACGGUUGUCCCGGUUUAAGCGUGUAGGUGUGUGUUCCAGGUAAAUCCGGUUCACUUUAACACUGAGGCGUGACGACGAGGCACUACGGUGCUGAAGCAACAAAUGCCCUGCUUCCAGGAAAAGCCUCUAAGCAUCAGGUAACAUCAAAUCGUACCCCAAACCGACACAGGUGGUCAGGUAGAGAAUACCAAGGCGCUUGAGAGAACUCGGGUGAAGGAACUAGGCAAAAUGGUGCCGUAACUUCGGGAGAAGGCACGCUGACACGUAGGUGAAGUGAUUUACUCAUGGAGCUGAAGUCAGUCGAAGAUACCAGCUGGCUGCAACUGUUUAUUAAAAACACAGCACUGUGCAAACACGAAAGUGGACGUAUACGGUGUGACGCCUGCCCGGUGCCGGAAGGUUAAUUGAUGGGGUCAGCGCAAGCGAAGCUCCUGAUCGAAGCCCCGGUAAACGGCGGCCGUAACUAUAACGGUCCUAAGGUAGCGAAAUUCCUUGUCGGGUAAGUUCCGACCUGCACGAAUGGCGUAAUGAUGGCCAGGCUGUCUCCACCCGAGACUCAGUGAAAUUGAACUCGCUGUGAAGAUGCAGUGUACCCGCGGCAAGACGGAAAGACCCCGUGAACCUUUACUAUAGCUUGACACUGAACAUUGAGCCUUGAUGUGUAGGAUAGGUGGGAGGCUUUGAAGUGUGGACGCCAGUCUGCAUGGAGCCGACCUUGAAAUACCACCCUUUAAUGUUUGAUGUUCUAACGUGGACCCGUUACCCGGGUUGCGGACAGUGUCUGGUGGGUAGUUUGACUGGGGCGGUCUCCUCCUAAAGAGUAACGGAGGAGCACGAAGGUUGGCUAAUCCUGGUCGGACAUCAGGAGGUUAGUGCAAUGGCAUAAGCCAGCUUGACUGCGAGCGUGACGGCGCGAGCAGGUGCGAAAGCAGGUCAUAGUGAUCCGGUGGUUCUGAAUGGAAGGGCCAUCGCUCAACGGAUAAAAGGUACUCCGGGGAUAACAGGCUGAUACCGCCCAAGAGUUCAUAUCGACGGCGGUGUUUGGCACCUCGAUGUCGGCUCAUCACAUCCUGGGGCUGAAGUAGGUCCCAAGGGUAUGGCUGUUCGCCAUUUAAAGUGGUACGCGAGCUGGGUUUAGAACGUCGUGAGACAGUUCGGUCCCUAUCUGCCGUGGGCGCUGGAGAACUGAGGGGGGCUGCUCCUAGUACGAGAGGACCGGAGUGGACGCAUCACUGGUGUUCGGGUUGUCAUGCCAAUGGCACUGCCCGGUAGCUAAAUGCGGAAGAGAUAAGUGCUGAAAGCAUCUAAGCACGAAACUUGCCCCGAGAUGAGUUCUCCCUGAGACUUAAAGUCUCCUGAAGGAACGUUGAAGACGACGACGUUGAUAGGCCGGGUGUGUAAGCGCAGCGAUGCGUUGAGCUAACCGGUACUAAUGAACCGUGAGGCUUAACCUU
rnacentral:rRNA from 1 species